rnacentral:lncRNA from 1 species
UUGUGCUUGGUAUUUCAACUUUUUAGCUUUUAGAUGCGAAGAUUUAAUUUUUAAGAUCUUGAGGGACUUUAUAUUUUAAAUUUUCAAAGAUGAAAUAUAGAAGAGUGGGAUCUUAUUCAUAUCUUCAAUAAGUUGACUAUAUUCAUAUAUGGGAUCUUCAUUUGACAUUUUUGUCAUCUCAUAAUUUUAUUGUAAUUUUGUAGGUUAGGUCCUGAUUUUUAUGGUUAUCUAAUGGAAGAUGCAAGAAUACGGGAUACAUAUGAUGUUCUUCUAGGAUAUUCCCAACGUCAUCAUGGAAAGAAUAUAAAGUGCCGCUCUCUUACCAAUUCAAUGCAACUAACAGUAGGGGUUUAGAAAAAUUAAGGUGAUGAACUACAAAAGUAGAACAAGAAAAGAAGAAAUGGGAGGAUAACUUUGCAGUUCUGAGGAGAAGUUUAACUUGAAAUACAAGAGAAAUUGUAAUGAAAUUCAUUACAAAAUAACCAAUAAAACUGCAUAAUUUUAAAUAACACUUGCAUUGAUAUAUGGAGACUCAUUGACUAGCCUAUGCGAGAACUUUGGUGACUUUUGGACUACAACAAUUAAUAUUUAUUCUGGUCAAGGAUUUGAAUAUCAUUGCUAGGAUAUGGUACCACUGAUACUACCAUAUUGUUCUGACAGCAUCCAAAUGCUGUUACAGGGUGCGGGGCACUAAAAUUGGCCUGGACUGAUGUGUAGCAGACAUCUUUUCCAAGCUGAUAUGGGC